UUUUUUUUUAAUUUAAUUUAAUUUUAUUUUAUUUUUUGUCUUUUUGUUAUUUCUUGGGCCGCUCCCACGGCAUAUGGAGGUUCCCAGGCUAGGGGUCCAAUCGGAGCUGUAGCCACAGGCCUACGCCAGAGCCACAGCAACGCAGGAUCCGAGCCGAGUCUGCAACCUACACCACAGCUCACAGCAACGCCGGAUCGUUAACCCACUGAGCAAGGCCAGGGACCGAACCUGCAACCUCAUGGUUCCUAGUCGGAUUUGUUAACCACUGCGCCAUGGUGGGAACUCCCUAAUAGACAUUUCUAAUCACUGUCAUCCAGGUAUCCAAACUCUUGUCUUCACCAUUCAUUUAUUUAUUCAUCUAUCAUUUCUUUAAAACCUUAAAUUUCCUAGAACUAAAUGUCACUUAGAAUAUCAGUGUCACAAAAGUGAAUGUCAUAUUCUUUUUCCUUAGCAGUUCACACACAAGGAUGAUAAAUAAAAACAUAUAAUAAAUCUACAACCAAGAAUACUCUACCUAGGAAGGCUCUCAUCCAGAUGAGAAGAAAUCAAAAGCUUUACAGACAAACAGAAGGUAAGAGAAUUCCACUCCACCAAACCAGCUUUACAACAAAUACUAAAGGAGCUUCCCUAGGCAGAAAAGGCCACAACUAGAAACAAGAAAAUUACACAUAAGAAGGCUCACUGAUAAAGGCAAAAACAUAUAGAAAGGUAGGAAAUCAUCCACACACAAAUAUUAUAUCAAAACCAGCAACUGUGAGAAGAGGAAAGUACAAAUGCAAGAUAUUGGAGAUGCAUUUGCAAUUAAGAGACCAGCAACUUAAACAAUCAUAUACAUAAGACUUCUAUAUCAAAACCUCAUGGUAACUGCAAACCAAAAAUCUACAAUAGAUUUAUACACAAGUAAAAAGAGCAAUUCAAACACAACAUUAAAACAGUCAUCAAACCUCAAAAGAACAAAAGGGGGAAAGAAAAAAAAAAUCCAAAACAAUUAACAAAAUCGCAGUAAAAAAGAAUGGAACUACCAAUAAUUACCUUAAAUGUAAAUGGACUAAAUGCUCCAACCAAAUGACAUAGACUGGCUAAAUGAAUACAAAAACAAGACCCAUAUAUAUGUCGUCUACGACGAGACCCACUUUAGUUCUAGGGACACAUACAAGCUGAAAGUAAGAGGAUGGAAGAAGAUACUCCAUGCAAAUGAAAAUCAAAAGAAAGCUGUAGUAGUAAUACUCAUAUCAGACAAAGUAGACUAUAAUACAGAAGGUUACAAGUGACAAAGAAGGUCAUUAUAUCAUGACCAAAGAAUCAAUCCAAGAAGAAGACAUAAUGAUUGUAAAUAUAUAUGUACCCAACAUAAGAGCACCCUAAUAUAUAAGGCAACUGCUAAUAGCCAUAAAAGGAAAAACUGACAAUAACACAGUAAUAGUGGGGGACUUUAACACUUAUAGCAAUGGACAGUUCAUCCAGACAGAAAAUCAACAAGGAAAUACAGGCUUUAAAUGAUGCAUUAGGCUAGAGGGACUUAACAGAUAUUUAAAGAACAUUCCAUUCAAAAGCAGCAGAAUACACAUUCUUCUUAAAUGCAUAUGGAACAUUCUCUAGGACUGAUCACACACUAAGCCACAAAUCAAGCCUAGUGAAUUUAAGAAACUAAAAUCAGGUGUUCCUGCUGUAGUGCAGUGGAUUAAGAAUCUGACUGCAGUGGCUUGGGUGGCUGUAGAGGCACAGUUUGAUCCUCAGCCUGGCACAGUGGGUUAAAGGAUCCUGCAUUGCUACAGCUGCAUUGCAGCUGAGGCUUGAAUUCAAUCCUUAGACCGGGAACUUCCACGUGCUGCAGGUGCAGCCAUAAAGAAAAUAAGAAAAAAGCAAAAGAAAGAAAAAGAAAAUUGAAAUCAUAUCAAGCAUCUUUUCUAAACACAAUGUGUUAUCAACUAACCAGAAAUCAACUAAAAGAAAAAACUGUGAAAAACAGACAUGUGGUUACUAAAAAAUAUGCUACUAAAUAAUCAAUAGAUCAUUAAAGAAAUCAAAAGAGAAAUCAAACAAUAUCCAAAGACAAAUGAAAAUGAAAACACAAUGAUCCAAAACCUAUGGGAUAUAGCAAAAGCAGUUCUAAGAGUGGAUUUUAUAGCAAUUCAAGUAUACCUCAGAAAAUAAGAAAAAUCUCAAAUAAACAACCUAACCUUACCCCUCAAGCAACUAGAAAAAGGGCAAAAAAAACCCAAAGUGAGGAGAAGGAAAGAAAUCAUAAAGCUUAGAGUAGAAAUAAAUGAAAUAGAAAUGAAAAAAAACGAAAGAAAAGAUAAAUGAAACUAAAAGCUGGUUCUUUGAAAAGAUCAACAAAAUUGAUAAACCCUUAGCCAAACUCAUCAAGAAAAAAAGGGAGAGGACUCAAAUCAAUAACAUAAUACCUUAAAAAGGAGAAAUUACAACAGAUAUCACAGAAAUACAAAGGAUCGUUAAGAGACGACUACAAGCAACUAUAUGCCAAUAAAACUGACCACGUAGAAGAAAUGGACAAAUUCUUAGAAAGGGACAAUCCUCCAAGAUUGAACUAGGAAGAAAUACAAAAUAUGAAGAGACCAACUACAAGUACUGAAAUUGAAAAUGGGAUUUUAAAACUUUCAACAAACAAAAGUCCAGAUAGCUUCAGAGGCGAAUUCUAUCAAACAUUUAAAUAAGAGUUAACAUCUGUCCUUCUGAAACUAUACCAAAGAAGUGCAGAGGAAAGAACACUCCAAAACUCACUCCAUCAGCCUGAUACCAAAACCAAAGAUACCACACACACAAACACAAAAAGAAAAUUGCAGGCCAAUAUCGCUGAUCAACACAGAUGCAAAAAUCCCCAACUAAAUACUAGAAACUGAAUCCAAGAACACAUUAAGGAUCCUACACCAUGAUCAGGUAGGAUUUAUUCCAGUGAUGCAGGAUUUUUAAAUAUCUGCAAAUCCAUCAGUGUGAUAUAGCACGUUAACAAAUUGAAGAAAAACCAUAUGAUCAUUUCAAUAGAUGCAAAAAAACUUUAGACAAAACCCAACACCCAUUUAUGAUUAAAACGUUCCAGAAAUUGGACAUAGGGAACUCACCUCAACAUAAUAAAGGUCACAUAUGACAAGUCUACAGCUAAUAUCAUUCUCAAUGGUGAAAAGCUAAAAAGAAUUUCUGUUAAUAUCAGAAUCAAGUCAAGGAUGUCCAUCCACUCUUGCCACUGUUAUCCAAAAUAGUUUUAAAAGUCCUAACAAUGGCAAUCAGAGGGAAAAAAAGAAACAAACAGGAUUCAAAUUGGAAAAGAAGUAAAACUAUCACUGCCUGCAUAUAACAUGAUAUGAUAUGUAGAAAAUCCAAACUACAUUACCAGCAAACUGUUAGAGCUCGUCAAUGAAUUCGCUAAAGUUGCAGGAUAACAACAUUAAUACAUAGAAAUUUAUGGCAUUUUUAAUAUACUAACAAUGAAAGAUCAGAAAGAGAAAUUAGGGAAACAAUCUCACCAUCACAUCUAAAAGAAUAAGAUAUCUAGGAAUAAACCUACCUGAAGAGACAAAAGACCUGUGCUCUGAAAACUGUAAGACCCUGAUGAAAGAAAUCAAAGAUGACACAACAAAAUGGAAAGAUAAACGAUGUUCUUGGAUUGAAAGAAUCAGUAUCAUCAAAAUGACUCUACUACCCAAGGAAAUCUACAAAUUCAAUGUAAUCCCUAUCAAAUUACCAAGGCCAUUUUUCAAAGAACUCAAAAAAAAUUUUUAAAUUUGUAUAUAAAGAGAAAAGACCACAAAUAGCCAAAGCAAUCCUGAGAAAGAAAAACGGUGCUGGAGGAAUCAAGCUCCCUGCCUUUAGACUACACUACAGAGGUGUAGUCAUCAAAACAGUAUGGUACUGGCACAAAAACAGAAAUAUAGAUCAAUGGAACAGGAGAGAAACCCCAUAAAUAAAUCCAUGCACCAAAUCUACAACAAAGGAGGCAAGGAUGAACAAUGGAGAAAAUAAAGUCUCUUCAAUAAGUGGUGUGGGAAAACUGGACAGCUGCAUGUAAAAGAAUGAAAUUAGAACACUCUCUAACACCAUACACACAAACUCAAAAUGGAUUAAAGACAAACAUUAAAGACUGGAUGCUAUAAAACUUUUAGAGGACAACAUAGGCAGAACGCUAACAUAAAUAGCAGUACUGUCUUUGAGAUCCACCUCCUAGAGUAAUGAAUGUAAAAACAAACAACUGGGACCUAAUUAAACUUAAAAGUUUUUGCAUAGCAAAGAAAACCAUGAACAAAACAAAAAGCCAACUCACAGAAGAGAAGAAAAUAUAUGCAAAUGAUGUGAUAAGGGAUUAAUCUCCAAAUUAUACAAACAACUCAUGUAGCUCAAUUGAAAAAAACAAACAAACAAACAAAAAAAAACCAACCCCAUCAAAAAACACGCAGAAGGUCUAAAUAGACAUUUCUCCAAAGACAUACAGAUGCUCCCCCCAAAAAACACAUAAAAAGAUGUUUAAUACCACUAAUUAUUAGAGAAUUACAAAUCAAAACUACUAUGAGGUACCAUCUUACACCAGCUAGAAAGGCCAUCAUGAAAAAAUCUAUAAACAAUAAACUCUAGAGAGGGUGAGGAGAAAAGGGAACCCUCCUACACUGCAGGUAGUAUGUAAACUGGUGCAGCAUUAUGAAAAAUAGUACAGAGGUUCCUCGAAAAAUUAAAAAUAGAACUACCAUAUGAUCCAGCAAUCCCACUCCUGGCCAUCUAUCUGAAGAAAACCAUAAUUUGAAAAGAUACAUGCACCCCAAUGUAUCUAUUUACAAUAGCCAAGACAUGAAAGCAACUUAAAUGUCUGUCAACAGAGGAAUAGAUAAAGAAGAUGUGAUACAUACAUACAAUGGAAUAUUACUCAACCAUAGAAAAGAAUGAAAUAAUGCAUCUGCAGCAACAUGGAUGGACCCAGAGAUUAUCAUAUACUAAGUGAAGUUAGCGAGUAAAAGACAAACAUCAUAUUUUGUCACUUAUAUGUAAAAUCUACAAAAAGGAUACAAACGAACUUAUUUACAGAACAGAAACAGACUCACAGACUUAGAAAACAAAUUUAUGGUUAUCAAGGGGACAGGCUGAGAGGUUUGGGGAGUAGGAAAGGACAGACUGGGGGUUUAGGACUGGCGUAUGAACACUAUGGUCUAUGGAAUGACUGGCCAGUGGGGACUUGGUGUAUAGCACACGGAACUCUACCAAUAUUCUGUGACAAUGUAUAUGGGAAAACAAUCUGAAAAAGAAUAGAUGUGUGUGUAUAUGUAUAACUGAAUCACUUUAUUGUACAGCAAAAAUUACCACAUUAUAAAUCAAUGAUACUUCAAUAAAACUUUAAAAAUGAAAAAAAAAAAUGUGUAUCAAAGCUCUAGGUAUAAAUAUCCUAUGGCAAGUAAGUUACUUGCCAUGUUAAAUGGGCUCUUUUAAUCCUUAUAACAGCCAAUUCUUUAAACUCUUUAAUUCUUUAAACUCUUUAAAGUGAAGAAACUGAGAUGUAAAGUAACAUGUUCAUGUAUAUAAAUAGACAGCGAAGAAGCCAAAAAACAAAUCUACAUGUACCUAACAUAAAACAUAUGCUUAUUUUAUUUAUUAUUAUUAUUAUUUUAUGCCCACACCCUCAGCAAAUGGAAGUUCCUGGGUCAGGGAUUGAAUCUGAGAUGUAGAUGCAUCCUACUUUGCAGCUGUGGCAAUGCCAGGUCCUUUAACCCACUGUGCUGGGCCAGGGAUUGAACUCACACCUCCACAGUGACCCAAACCACAAUAGUCAGAUUCUUAACCCAUUGAGUUCCCGUCGUGGCGCAGUGGUUAACGAAUC
rnacentral:lncRNA from 1 species